CCUACGGGAGGCAGCAGUGGGGAAUUUUGGACAAUGGGCGCAAGCCUGAUCCAGCCAUGCCGCGUGCGGGAAGAAGGCCUUCGGGUUGUAAACCGCUUUUGUCAGGGAAGAAAUCCUUUGAGCUAAUACCUCGGGGGGAUGACGGUACCUGAAGAAUAAGCACCGGCUAACUACGUGCCAGCAGCCGCGGUAAUACGUAGGGUGCGAGCGUUAAUCGGAAUUACUGGGCGUAAAGCGUGCGCAGGCGGUCUUGCAAGACAGGUGUGAAAUCCCGGGCUUAACCUGGGAACUGCACUUGUGACUGCAAGGCUGGAGUACGGCAGAGGGGGAUGGAAUUCCGCGUGUAGCAGUGAAAUGCGUAGAUAUGCGGAGGAACACCGAUGGCGAAGGCAAUCCCCUGGGCCUGUACUGACGCUCAUGCACGAAAGCGUGGGGAGCAAACAGGAUUAGAUACCCUGGUAGUCCACGCCCUAAACGAUGUCAACUGGUUGUUGGACGGCUUGCUGUUCAGUACGAAGCUAACGCGUGAAGUUGACCGCCUGGGGNGCGCGCGAGUAGANANAGAGUAGAGNGNGAGAGNGCGAGAGACGACGAGGAGGAGG
rnacentral:rRNA from 1 species